rnacentral:rRNA from 1 species
AACGAACGCUGGCGGCAUGCCUAACACAUGCAAGUCGAACGAGACCUUCGGGUCUAGUGGCGCACGGGUGCGUAACGCGUGGGAACCUGCCCUUAGGUUCGGAAUAACUCCCCGAAAGGGGUGCUAAUACCGGAUAAUGUCUUCGGACCAAAGAUUUAUCGCCUUUGGAUGGGCCCGCGUUGGAUUAGCUAGUUGGUAGGGUAAAAGCCUACCAAGGCGACGAUCCAUAGCUGGUCUGAGAGGAUGAUCAGCCACACUGGGACUGAGACACGGCCCAGACUCCUACGGGAGGGACCAGUGGGGAAUAUUGGACAAUGGGCGAAAGCCUGAUCAAGCAAUGCCGCGUGAGUGAUGAAGGCCUUAGGGUUGUAAAGCUCUUUUACACGGGAUGAUAAUGACAGUACCGGGAGAAUAAGCUCCGGCUAACUCCGUG